ensembl:lncRNA
AAAUGCGUGAUUUUCGUGUGCAAGGUGGUACUUUCGGGAAGAAAAUGUGUGAUUUCCGUGAGAAAAGUGGUAGUUCUGGAGAGAAAACGCGUGAUUUUGGGGUGAAUGGUGCUAUUUUCUUGGCGAAAACGUGAUAUUUCUGUUUGAGAAGUGGUAUUUUCUGGAGGAAAAAGCGUAAUUUUCGACUGAAAGGGUACUUUCGGGGUGAAAAUGCGUGCUUUGUGAGUGAAGCGUGUUAUAUUUGGGGUAGAAAUGUGUUAUUUCCCAGCGAAAAGUGGUAUUUUCGGGAAGGAAGUGCAGAAUUUUUGGGAGACAGGUGGUAUUUUUGGAUGAAAAUGCAUGAUUUUCGAGAGAAAAGUGGUAUUUCUCGAGAGAAAAUGCGUGAUUUUGGGGUGAAAGGCGGUAUAUUUGGGGGAGAAAUGUGUUAUUUCCCAGCGAAAAGUGGUAUUUUCGGGAAGGAAGUGCAGAAUUUUUGGGAGACAGGUGGUAUUUUUGGAUGAAAAUGCAUGAUUUUCGAGAGAAAAAUGGUAUAUUUGGGGUAGAAAUGCGUUAUUACCCAGCGACAAGUGGUGUUUUCGCGCAGAAAAUGCGUGAUUUUCGUGAGAAAAGUGGUAUUUCUCGAGAGAAAAUGCGUGAUUUGGGGUGAAAGGUGGUAUAUUUGGGGAGAAAUGUGUUAUUUCCCAGCCAAAAGUGGUAUUUUCGGGUAGAAAAUGCGUGAUGUUUGGACAGAGGUGCGUUUUUUCGGGGGGAAAUGCGUGAUUUUUGGGUGAAAAGGGGCAUUUACGGUAAGGAAAUGCAUUAUUUUCUGGCGACAUGGGGAAUUUACGAAGGGAAAAUGCGUGAUUUUCGGGCAAAAACUUGUAUUUUCGGAGUGACAGUGCAUGGUUUCCGUUAGAAAAGUUGUAUUUUCCGGAAGAAAAAGACUGAUUUUGG